rnacentral:rRNA from 1 species
CCUACGGGAGGCUGCAGUGGGGAAUAUUGCGCAAUGGGCGAAAGCCUGACGCAGCGACGCCGCGUGAGGGAUGAAGGUCUUCGGAUCGUAAACCUCUGUCAGCAGGGAAGAACGGUCACUGUGCUAAUCAGCAGUGAAUUGACGGUACCUGCAAAGGAAGCACCGGCUAACACCGUGCCAGCAGCCGCGGUAAUACGGAGGGUGCGAGCGUUAAUCGGAAUUUCUGGGCGGAAAGGGCUCGUAGGCGGUAUGUCAAGUCAAGGGUGAAAUCCCCGCGCUCAACGUGGGAACUGCCUUUGAAACUGGCAAACUGGAGUGUGUGAGAGGUUAGUGGAAUUCCUGGUGUAGGAGUGAAAUCCGUAGAUAUCUGGAGGAACAUCAGUGGCGAAGGCGACUAUCUGGCACAUAACUGACGCUGAGGAGCGAAAGCGUGGGUAGCGAACAGGAUUAGAUACCCUUGUAGUC